GUGUGAGAGAGAGAGACAAGGUAUGAGCCGACGUGUACAGACAGGACAUUUCAGCAUGCAGGUUUCAGUACUAUAUGCAGCCACACAAAAGCAGAAGAUGAAACUUGCCAUUUUCUAUGCGCAUGCAUGAGCGUCAAGGCCGGUUACAAACGUGUUCUACACAAACUAACACACAUACUUUCUUUCUCUCAUUUCCUUAGCAACCGUGACUCAUUUCCCUAGCAACAGAGCAGAACAGAACCACAUAUAAAGAGAACCAGACAAAAAAGAGAAACAAAUUUGAUGGAAGAUAAACCGAAUAAACUUUUUUCUGUGCGCAUCCAGCGAACAAAUUAGGAGAAAAGAGAAGCAUGUUUUUAGCGGUCCUUACAGAUUCAUUUUCACUAAGCCUUCACACACACACACACACACACACACACACGCAAGCCUUCACCGUUAGUCUCUGUGUUAGACGCUACCAUUUAUGUCUAGAUACAGUUCCUACUAGCUUCGGCAGCCGUUCUAAAGAACAGUCGAAUCUACGAGGUGUCAAUUACAUCAUCUGCAAAACACGCUAAUUCGCUAAAUUUCUCUGUACACGGUCAAGCCUAACAAUAUACGAUAAAGCACUAGAUCUAACCGCUAUUUUGCAUUUUGUCACUUUAAUAAAGCUAUGAUGAGAAAAAUAACCCCAUUCUCUUUUCUACAUACAGUAUGAUGGAUGACUUUAUUUUCUACUAAGUGCUCCUUUAUCACACCCUAGCAUACGGGACGCAUCCAGCGGUGCAUCUGUUUGUGCGGUUCUCUCAAUCUGUACUUUUAACUGCGCCGUUAUCUUUUACUUCGACUCUCAGAAACGCAGGACGGGACGGAAACCAUGCGAUGUCUAACGAAGGGCUGCGUGAUAAAUUUUCAGCAGCUUCAGAUACUCUGGUAUGGUUCAAAAAACCAAAGACGCUCCUCCUGCUUUAUCCGUCUCUUGAGAUGAGCUCUGCCUUUCUUUUUACUCCCACUCACAUUACGGACGAUUACUUUCUGUACUACAGGAUCCACAUAAUACACACAUUCACAAAAUAAUGAUUAGAUAGACAUUGCACUAUGUAAACACUCACGUUAAAGAGACAUGACGUAUGAGGCAGAGACCUGGAGUAAAAGUCAAGAAGAGAGAACGAUAAAUGCUCUCAAUGUACUGUAGCAUCACGGUACUGUAUACAUGUAUGUGUAGGUGUGACAGCUGGCAUUGUGCGUGCAUUACGGGGACUCUAGAAGAAUUUCAAACCUGCAUAGAAAUCAGUUCUGUUCAUGAUGAGGGGAAGAGGAAAUGAAAGUGAGCAGUGAAAAGCAUCUUUAAGGGAGAGAUGGACAGGACAGGCAAAAUGGGAAGGACCACUGAGGACGUCCUGAGCAGCUGCGUCACUGUCUGGUUUGAGGCGGAACGCGAGACCCUGCGUCGGACAGUGAGGACAGCUGAGAAGAUCAUCGGCGUCUAUCUUCCCUCUGUCGUGCGCUGUAUCUGCCAAGCCAACAGCAUUGUGGAUGAUUUCACACACUCCUCACACACAUUCUUUACACUCCUGCCAUCUGGAAAAAGGUACCGUAGCAUUCGGGCCCUCAAAACCAGACUGUUUAAUAGAUUCUUCCUUCAAGCCAUCAGACCUCUCAACAAAACUGAACUAUACUGGACACACACACAUACGCACACACACACACACACGCACGCUCACACCCAAUGUGUGAACUACGCUAAUCUCUCACUCAGUUGCUGUUAUUGCACACACCACAUUUUUAAAUACCUCAUCAGACCGCUGCUACUGCAUAAGUUUGUAUAUGUUUACAAUUGCUCUAGUAGCACGGUGUACUUUAUAAUAUACUGUAAUACACACCGGUCAGUGCUAUUUCAUUUAUUUUGUGUAUUUGUCUUGUAUUGUUUUGUCUUUUAUUGUAGCUUUAUGUCGUUUUAUGUAGCUCCCUGGUCCUGGAGAAACGUCGUUUCAUUUCACUGUGUACUGCGUCAGAUAUACUGUAUAUGGUUGAAAUGGCAAUAAAAAGCUUCUUCACUUGA